CCGGACUGACUGCUAUCGGAUUGGUACUAAGCCAUGCGAGUCAUUGUAGCAAUACAAGGCGGACGGCUCAGUAACACGUAGUCAACNUAACUCGUGGACGUGGAUAACCUCGGGAAACUGAGAAUAAACCACGAUAGAUCAUAGUGCCUGGAAUGGCUUAUGGUCCAAACAGUUUACUGCCAUGGGAUGGACUGCGGCCUAUCAGCUUGUUGGUGAGGUAAUGGCCCACCAAGGCGAUUACAGGUACGGGCUCUGAGAGGAGAAGCCCGGAGAUGGGUACUGAGACACGGACCCAGGCCCUAUGGGGCGCAGCAGGCGAGAAACCUUAGCAAUGUGCGAAAGCACGACUGGGUCAGUCCGAGUGAUUCCUGAUAAAGGAGUCUUUUGCCUGUCCUAAAAACACAGGUGAAUAAGGGGUGGGCAAGUCUGGUGUCAGCCGCCGCGGUAAUACCAGCACCUCGAGUGGUCAGGACGUUUAUUGGGCCUAAAGCAUCCGUAGCCGGCUUUGCAAGUCUCCGGUUAAAUCCACCUGCUCAACAGAUGGGCCGCUGGAGAUACUACAGAGCUAGGGAGUGGGAGAGGCAGACGGUAUUCAGUGGGUAGGGGUAAAAUCCUCUGAUCCAUUGAGGACCACCAGUGGCGAAGGCGGUCUGCCAGAACACGUUCGACGGUGAGGGAUGAAGGCUGGGGGAGCAAACCGGAUUAGAUACCCGGGUAGUCCCAGCUGUAAACGAUGCAAACUCGGUGAUGCAUUGGCUUAUGGCCAAUGCAGUGCCGCAGGGAAGCCGUUAAGUUUGCCGCCUGGGAAGUACGGACGCAAGUCUGAAACUUAAAGGAAUUGGCGGGGGAGCACCACAAGGGGUGAAGCCUGCGGUUCAAUUGGAUUCAACGCCGG
rnacentral:rRNA from 1 species